CAGAGUAGGGCUUUGCGCGUCAAGUGUCCGGUGAACGGGGAGUUGUCACCGGGACGAAAAAAUGAUGUAUCAUUUUGCGAUGCAGAACCCGCAUCCCGCUGU
rnacentral:ncRNA from 1 species